CCCCCCUGACUCCCUGCACCUUUGUCAUCCACAGUCUUGUAGCAAUUACUGUGCCAUCUCACCUGGCCACGGUGGGUGGAGUUUCCUGUGUAGACAAAUGACAGAGCUCAGUGACUCAGGGGGAGUGUUCUCUAUAAGCAGAUUUUUGUCCGGCCCAAAAUUUGACUACUUUCAGACCUGUAGAGACAACACCUCAGCAAAUGGACAGGAACCAUGGAGAGGAGACUUGAAACAGUGCUGGGGCUUCUGUGGGUGCAGGUUUGCUGGGUGACAGGGAUGCAGGUAGAGCAGCGUCCUUCAGUCUUGAGUCUCCAGGAGGGAGCCGACGCUACUCUGAGAUGCAAUUUUUCUAUCACCAUGACCAGUGUGCAGUGGUUCCGACAGAAUCCUAGGGGCAGCUUGAUCAGUCUGUUCUACAUGGCUCCAGGGACAAAGGAGAAUGGGAGGUUAAAGUCAACAUUUGAUUCUAAGGAGCGCUAUGUGACCCUGCACAUCAGAGACACCCACCUGGAAGACUCAGACACCUACCUCUGUGCAGCGCAGGCACAGUGCUCCCAACCAGCCUACAACCUGGCUCCAAACCUCAGCUGGGUGUGCAGCUGCAGCCCCUGCCAUGGGGAGAAGCUGCAGCAAUGUUUGCCCUGCUCUUGA